GAUGCAGCGGAGUUGGGGGAGGAAAGAGAAGGGAAACAAGACAAGCAGGUUAGAAACAACUUCAUUAAAAUCAAUUCCAAGCACAAAUCGUGAAGAAAAAAGGUGGCUACUUAGGCAAAUGUGAAAAGAUACAUUGGAAACAUACUUUAAAGCCCAAGAGGCUGUGAGUGCCAGACAGUGUGGAAACCCCCACACUGGUACAGGCAAGUGAAACAUGAGGAAAUCCUGAGGGACGUUGUAGAGACUGAUGGUAGAUCUGGUAACUGGCACCAUUUCACAUUACUCCGAGCAGUCAGAUACAAUGAUAUAUACUGGCAAUAACUAUUCACAACGAAAUCUGCACUAUAGGCAGUUGUGAGACAUCGGGCAAGGAAAAAAGUCACAUAAAAAAAUCUACGAUCUGUAUUUUUACUGUAUUCUAUGCUACUAUUAAGGUAAGGGUAAAAAACAAUGGACAUAGGUUGAAAGUGAGAAGAAAGGGUUUUAAAGGGGCUUUGAGGAUAACCGUUUCAUUUUUAUUUAAAUGCAGGGAAUCAGAAACAAUUUGUAUUUAAAUGGAUACUAUUUAAAUUAUACAGAUUGUAAUCAGAGCUUUCAACCCAACUGGUCCAUAUUAACCAAGCUGCCUAUCUGAGCUCAUCUGAUUUGCCUGUGAUUGACUCACAUCCCCCUAAACGUGUCCAAAUGUCAGCGUAACUGACAUUCCAUCCAAGACCUGUAGUGUGAACGGCAACCCUGCACAUUCUGUCUCCUCCGUCUCUUUGCGCAAAAGAGCAAAAGCCUGAAAGCAAGUACCACCAGGCUCAAGGACAGCUUCCAGCCCGCUGCUAUCAGACUUGUAUGAUAAGAUGGAUUCUUGGUCUCAUGAUCUACCUUGUUAUGACCUUAUACUUUGUUUCCCUGCACUACACACUUUGUGGCUUCUUCAUGCUAUUCUGCAUUACUGUUGUUCUACCCAUUUUAGCUCAUGAUCUAAUCUGUAUGAACAAUAUGUAAAACAAGCUUUUCCCUGUAUCUCAGUACAUAACAUUUAACCAAUACCUUAGGCAGAGAGUCGGUAUAAAUGGGUGUUUCUCCUGUUGUCAGUCUGUGGUCAGUAGGGUGCCACAGGGGUCGGUGCUGGGCCUGCAGCUGUUUUACCAUUUACGUUGAUGAUUUGUAAGAGGGGAAUGAGUGUAGCGUAGCAAAAUUUGCUGAUGACACUAAACUGAGUGGAAAAGCAAAUUGUACAGAGGAUGUGGAGAGUCUACAGAGCGAUAUAGAUAGGUUAAGUGAGUGGGCCAAGGUCUGGCAGAUGGAAUACAACGUUAGUAAAUGCGAGAUCAUGCACUUUGGAAGGAAUAAUAGAAGAGCAGAUUAUUAUGUAAAUGGUGAAAGAUUGCAGCAUGCUGUUGUGCAGAAGGACUUGGGAGUGCUUGUUCAUGAAUUGCAAAAAGUUGGCUUGUAGGUACAACAGGUUAUUAAGAAGGCAAACGGAACAUUGGCCUUCAUUGCUAGAGGUAUUGAAUUCAAGAGCAGGGAGGUCAUGCGGUAACUAUACAGGGUACUUGUGAGGCCACACCUGGAGUACUGUGUGUAGUUCUGGUCUCCAUACUUAAGGAUAUACUGGCUUUGGAGGCAGUGCAGAGGAAGUUCACCAGGUUGAUUCCAGGGAUGAAGGGGUUAACCUAUGAGGAGAGUGAGUCAUCUGGGACUAUUCUCUCUAGAGUUCAGAGAACAAGAGGGGAUCUUAUAGAAACAUACAAAAUUUUGAAAGGGAUAGAUGAGAUAGAAGUAGGAAAGUUGUUUCCAUUGGUAGGUGAGACUAGAACUAGGGGACAUUGCCUCAGGAUUCAGGGGAGAAAAUUUAGGAUGGGAUGAGGAGAAACUGUAUUUCCCAGAGAGUGGUGAAUCUGUGGAAUUCUCUGCCCAGACAAGCAGUUGAGGUUUCUUCACUAAAUAUAUUUAAGAAACAGUUAGAUAGGUUUUUACAUAGUAAGAGAAUUAAGGGUUACGGGGAAAAGGCAGGUAGAUGGAGUUGAAUUUACGGACAGAUCAGCCAUGAUCUCAUUGAAUGGCGGGGCAGGCUCAGCUCGAUAGACUGGAUGGCCUACUUCUGCUCCUAUUUCUUACACUCUUCUAACCUCUUCCACUUCCUCUGGCUGCUCGCUCCAUAUACACAUAGUGUGGGUAAAGCCUCACCUCUCAGGCCCCCUUUGAAUCUUUACCCUCGUCUUAAAAUUACACCGCCUGGUUUUAGACAAGGCGAGGCAUGGAAGGCUACAGUCUUGAUGCAAGCAAAUAAGGUUAGUGUGCUAGGCAGAAAGGUUGGCAUGGAAGCAAUCAGCAAAAUGGCCUGAUUCUGUGCUGUACAUAUGACCAUGAGCAAAAUGAUUGAAAAACAAACCUCAAACAAGAGAAAAUCUACAGAUGCUGGAAAUCCAAGUAACACAUACAAAAUGCUGGAGGAACUCAGCAGGCCAGGUAGCAUCUGUGGAAAAGAGUACAGUUGAUAUUUUGGGCCUUGGCCCUUCAUCAAGACUUCCAUCAUUCCAUAGUUGCUACCCGGCCUGCUGGGUUCCUCCCAACAUUUUGCGUGUGCUGCUUGAGAAACAAACAUCGGGUGUUAUCAAUUGAAAGGCAAUUUAGGACAGAUUUUCCCCCGGUUAGGAGAGUCCAAAACCAGUGGGCAUAGGUUUAGGGUGAGAGGGGAGAGAUUCAAAACAGACCUGAGGGUCAAUUUCUUUCGGCAGAGAGUGGUGAGUAUAUGGAACAAGCUGCCAGAGGAAGUGGUUGAGGCAGGUACAAUGGUAUUGUUUAGAAGCACUUGGAUUGGUACAUGGAGAGGUGGAUCUAGGAGGGAAAUGAGCCAAACACAGGAAAUUGGGACUAGCUGAGUGGGCACCAUAGUCUGCAUGGGCUUGUUGGGCUGAAGGGCCUGUAUCUGUAAUGUAUUCCUGUGGCUGUAAUGGAAAAGCACAUGAAAUGGACUUCUGUUAAUCAUUAAGUUUUAAUUUCUGUUCCACAGGUGUGCUGACACUUGAAUGCUCUUCCUUCUGAGAGGAUCUGUCUUGGGCCCAGGACACAAGUGUCUUUACAAAGAAAGCAAGGCAGGAAGGAAGAUUUGGCAUGUCAUCUAAAACUUCGACUAACGUCAAUGGAUAUACGGUGGAGAGUAUACUGAGUGGUUGCAUUGCAGUCCGGUAAAAAGCCUACAAAAAAUUAGUGGAUACUGCCCAGUCCAUCACAGAUACAUCCCUCCUCACCACUGAGCGCAGUUGCAGGAAAGCAGCAUCCAUCAUCAGGGGCCCCCAUCACGCAGGUCACACUCUCUUUCCGCUGCUGCAAUCAAAAAGGACUUGCACCACCAAGUCUCAGGACUUGCACCACCAGGUUCAGGAACAGUUCUUACCCUUCAAACAUGAACCAGUGGUGAUAAGUUUACUCAGCUUCACUCACUCCAUCACUGGAUUGUUCACACAACCAAUGGACUCUUCAUCUCACGUUCUCAAUAUUUAUUGCUUAUUAUUAUUUUUUGUUUCUUUGUAUUUACUGUGAAUGCCCACAAGAUAAUGAUCUUGGGGCAUUCACAGUAUCUUGGGGAAAUGGUGACAUUUAUACACUUUGAUAAUAAAUUUAACUUUGAACUCUGAAUUCAGGUUGCAAUGGUG